rnacentral:rRNA from 1 species
CACAUGCAAGUCAACUUGACUGAAGGAGCAAUCUGACAGUAGAGUGGCGCAAGGGUGCGUAACGCGUAAGUAACUUGCCCCAAGGUAAGGAAUAACGUCGAGAAAUCGGCGCUAAUACCUCAUAAUGCAGCGGAUCCGCAUGGAUAUGUUGUUAAAGGUUUACCGCCUUGGGAUAGGCUUGCGUCUGAUUAGCUAGUUGGUGUGGUAACGGCACACCAAGGCUACGAUCAGUAACUGGUCUGAGAGGAUGAUCAGUCACACUGGAACUGAGACACGGUCCAGACUCCUACGGGAGGCAGCAGUGAGGAAUAUUGGGCAAUGCUCGAAAGAGUGACCCAGCAACGCCGCGUGGAGGAUGAAGGUAUUCUAUAUCGUAAACUCCUGUGAGAGCAGACGAAAGACAGAUUAUUAAUCUGGAUGACUGUAUGCUCAGAGGAAGCCCCGGCUAACUACGUG